UACGGAGGGUGCAAGCGUUAUCCGGAUUCACUGGGUUUAAAGGGUGCGUAGGUGGGUCUGUAAGUCCGUGGUGAAAUCUCCGAGCUUAACUUGGAAACUGCCAUGGAUACUAUAGGUCUUGAAUACUGUGGAGGUCAGCGGAAUAUGUCAUGUAGCGGUGAAAUGCUUAGAUAUGACAUAGAACACCAAUUGCGAAGGCAGCUGGUUACACAAAUAUUGACACUGAUGCACGAAAGCGUGGGGAUCAAACAGG
rnacentral:rRNA from 1 species